AGAUGGGAGCAAACAAUUGUACGUGUUUUGAUUUUUUAUCGAUAUUCUUUUCAUCGUAUUCUUGUGUCUUUUUUGGUUUUCUU
rnacentral:ribozyme from 12 species